UGGCAAGAAUAAGGCAGUGGGUUGGCCACAUCCUAUCCUGCAAGAUGGUAGAAUGUACUGAGUCAGAGACAGAUGUCCCCUUACCCCCAAAGAACACGCUUACCACAUCUACAAUGAGACUGUGUUCUCCUUUGCCUCUCCUUUACUGUCGCCCUUGAUCUUGGGCCCAACUCUUCUCCCAUCAUGGAGAAUCACGGAGAAUCCCUGGAAGGAGUGACAUCCUCAAGCUGGGUGUUGCUCAGCUUCUGGCUCAAGGAUGCUGCUGCUUCUUCUUACCUGGCAGUCUUUGCUCUGGAAGGAGACUGGGACCUGGGUGAACUUCACCCAGGAUUUUUCAUAAAAGGAUUCUUGUCCCAAGUUUCCUUCUUCUAGACCACAGGGAGUCUUUUACCUGGCCUGUUAAACCCUCAGAGUUCCAUCUCUCACUAGUUUCUUUCAUCUUCAGCCCCUGGCAGGGCCUUCUAUAGAUGUGACACAGGUCUUAUGGUUCUGAGAAGCUAUAGAACCCUACUAUCCAGUAAAGUGACAGGAUCCAAAGGUCUGCAGGUUACCCAGGCAACCUGAAGAUACACAGAUCCAUGAUUAGUAUCAUCUGACUGGCCUUCCCAGAUACUACUGGAGCCAGGGGUGGGAGUCUGAAGAGGCUUCUGUAGGAGACACCACUGCUCUGAGUUUGAGGAUCAGUGCCUCUAAUCCGAAAUAGAUCUCCUUAUCAAGCUGCCUCAUCGCAGUACAAGCUCUUCCCAACUCGAGGAGCCGGCGCGCAGACUCAGUCACGACUUUGAGGCUUGGCGGCCACCAGGCACCCUUUCAGAGAACAGGAUUCUGGGGUUUCAGAAGUUCAGUGAGAGGAUAAACUGACGAAACCGCACAAUUGGAAAAUUGCCACUCAACCACAUGAUAGCA
rnacentral:lncRNA from 1 species